rnacentral:rRNA from 1 species
GACGAACCGUGCGAACGUUGUUCGGAAUCACUGGGCUUAAAGGGCGCGUAGGCGGGCUGGUAAGUCAGGGGUGAAAGCCCACGGGCCCAACCGUGGAAGUGCCUUUGAUACUGCCAGUCUCGAGGGAGGUAGGGGCGUGCGGAACUUCCGGUGGAGCGGUGAAAUGCGUAGAUAUCGGAAGGAACACCGGUGGCGAAAGCGGCGCGCUGGACCUCUUCUGACGCUGAGGCGCGAAAGCCAGGG